CAGUAGCCGCGGGAAUACGUAGGGUGCGAGCGUUGAUCGGAAUUACUGGGCGUAAAGCGUGCGCAGGCGGUUAUAUAAGACAGAUGUGAAAUCCCCGGGCUCAACCUGGGACCUGCAUUUGUGACUGUAUAGCUAGAGUACGGUAGAGGGGGAUGGAAUUCCGCGUGUAGCAGUGAAACGCGUAGAUAUGCGGAGGAACACCGAUGGCGAAGGCAAUCCCCUGGACCUGUACUGACGCUCAUGCACGAAAGCGUGGGGAGCAAACAGGAUUAGAUACCCGUGUAGUCCCUGUCUCUUAUAC
rnacentral:rRNA from 1 species